AAAACAUCUUGUGACUGAGGAAAAAGAAAGAAAGUAUCCCUGUUGUGUUUGAUAUAUGUUACAAAACGGUAUAGAACCAUACUGCACACCUUGCUUCUCCAGACUGCUCUCUUCCCUGGCAGAGAUGGAGAGUGCUCGGACCAGCUCAUAUAACUAACUCACCCCGUCUUUAGUCUACAGAUUAAUUAGCGGUUACUUGUGUCAACAGCAACAACGGUUGUACUGCACGUGUGGAGCUAAUACCCACGAAUCUUCCCCAGGACGUGAUCUGCUACUCGUUCUAUGGCUUUCAGGUUCCUAGACUUAGCAGCAGAAGAGAAGGCUGGGGAGCUUAUCAGCUUGUGGGACUCUAAGAUGGAAAGAAUUCGACCUAAUUUACAGCAUAGCCAAACAACAUCUAUUAACAAGAGGAAAAAUAAUUCAGAAAUGGGACCACAGCUUGGAAGGCUUUCAGAGUCUGGCCACUGCUCACCACUUCAGGCACAUCUCAUGCCCCAGCCCCUUCCUCAACUCUCAGCUCCUUCUACACUGAAUUUCUGGCAGUCCCACAAUCCUGCCAGCUCCUGCUCCCCUGCCAGGGGUCACGUGUGCUGUUCCUUCUGCCCGAAGACAGAACACAGUCCCUGCCUUCAGGACCACACAACCCAGUCAAGGAAAGAGACAAAUAAACAGGUAAAGAUACCAGCAGAAGACAGCAGUCUGCAGCCUGGAAGAGGGCACUCAUCAGAACCCGAUCAUGCUGGUAUACUGAUCUCAGACUUCCAGCCUCCAGAACUGCGACCAUAGCCCACUGUGGAAGGAGAGUGCCUCAUACUCAAGUAAGGGGAAGGACAGCUCCCCUGACCCUUCAGCUCAGAUGUUGUGAAGUGGCCAUUCCAACUGCAGGUGACCUGCAGGUGCUGGCCUGUCUUCAGCACCUGCAAUCAGCUACAGGCCGGAGUGCUUCAUCUUCAACAAAGGAGGAUCAUCUGUGAAAAAGAUUAUAGUGGGUACUUCAGGGAAUAGGCUUCUGAUGGCAUCGCUCAUAUCAUGGGAUGAGUCAGCAUUUCCCGAACUAUACCCCAGAAGCAGAUGGAUUCAGAAGACUUCUAAGCCAAGAUCAAGCAGACUAAGAACUAAUGACAUAAGACUGAAUGAAUUGAUAAGAGUUAAUUGUAGUUUUUGUCUGGAAUAUUGUUGCUGUUUUAAUUUUUUAUUUUCUGAAUAUAUAAGGAAGCCUUUUGCUUUCCUCUUGAGCAAUCCAUAAUUCAUAGUAAUUAAGUAGACUCUGCUUUUAUAAACUGAAAUGAAACAUUUGCAAUGAUAUUUUACUCUCCCUGAUUAACACCUCCAGACUUUGGACUCUGUUACUGAGCAUUCUUGUUUUCAUAGCAAUACACUUAUUUCUGUAGAAUUUGUCCUUUUUUAUAUCCGCUUCAAUAAGAAUCUGUCCUCCCAUAAUUGGAAACAUCGGUUAAACAACCAAAGUGUUAUUUGAGAAUAUCAUAUUUGAGAAUGAUGCUCAUUAAUCAAAUCUGACCAGACACAUUAAGGAACUAAGGUUGACUUUAUGAAGCCAAUGCUUGCAAAGCUGUCUUGGGACUGGCCUGAUAUCUGGUUUACAGUAUUUCAUCCUUACAGGUGAGUAAAGUAAGUCUUCUUGGCAGACCCAAGAACCCUAGGAUAUCUUGUGGACCUCCAGAAGAGAGGAUUUAUAGAUAAUAUAGGUAAAAUCUGAUAGCAAGUUCUUAGCUUGGCUUCCUACCCUCAAGAGGCUUUUAAAAGUCUAAUUUGAAAUUCCUUGUGAAAACUUCAAGCAAAGAAACAUAAGAAGGCCUCCAUAGUUAAUUACAAUUUUUCUUGCAACUUUGCAAAUAAUCAAGCCAAAUCUAAGGAGACCAGCCUUAUUUUAUGAUCAAGAAUAAUCUCUCUUUGAGAUUAUCAGAAAGUAUGGGAGUGGAAGAGUGACUUUUGUGAGAGGGGGAAAUCUUGUGUUUCUGGGAAUCUAUGCGUUGUCUAUAGCACAUCUUUCUGUCAAGAAAAGAUUCUUGACUUUUUCAUUGUCUUUGAGCUUUGCUGCACCUAGUUAUACAAUUUGUAAAUUUGACGUAACUGAUGGAUAUGCAAACUGUAUUGUCUAAUGUUUAUUUAAUUGACUUCCUCCUCUCUGUGGAAAAAUCAGUUUUAAGAUCUACCUGCAAAUUUUACUGGAACAUGUUACUUGCUCAAAUUGUCAAUCCUCACCAGGCUUUCUUUCCUUUCAGUUUUUUUCAGUAUCUGACUCCAACCCUCCAAACUAACUUUUCCAAUUUUUCUCCCUGUUGCCUGAUUUCAGCAUCACCAAAUAAAACCUAACUGCUCAGACCACUACCUAGACUCCAGGUUGCCUUGCACCUGGCCCUUGUCCUCUAGCAUCUGAAGAAAAUACUACUAACUUCAAAGGAUUCACUAUCACAACAGACCAUGCAUGCUCCAGGUGUCUCUUUGGACGAGCUCCUGUCUGAGCCACUAAGGAAAUCCUUGGAAAGGCUUGAGGCAUUCAAGCUUCUUAUAUGAGAGGUAACCAAGACUGCAAACAAAUUUACCAAGAACACAGCAUUGUAGCUAGAGAGCUUCAAGAAACUCAACAAGUGGUGCUGUAUAAUAGAAGGAUUUUCCUCCAAUGGUCUUGAAAUUCACUGGACUGGUUACUCUCAGGCUUCACUCUUGGCUCUUUAUUUUAAUAUAAUCUUUUAUAUUAAUAUAUUGUCUUCAUUUUAGGCAUCUCUCUCUUUAGGACCUAAUCUUCUAGGACCUAGGAGAUUUUAGGUUUUAGGGCCCUAAAACCACUGACCUUUGCCACCACCUCUCAACAGAUGGUUCAACUAGUUUUAUAGGAAAAACACCAAGAAGAAUCCUCAAGAGACAAUAUUUCCUAGACCCUGCUUUGCCCCAUUCAGAAAGUUUAUAAUCAGCUGUAAGUUUUUCACUGAGGGAAGAUAUUUAUCCUCUUGAACCAAAGGGAAGGCAAUGUGGAAAUUUAUCUGAGCCUUGUGCACCAGAAAGCAGAGAAGAUGGAGAAGGUUAAGAAAUCUCCCCACACAUUUGUAUUCCGAGAAACUGCUAACCAGCAAAAGAUCACCCUACUGUCCCAUUUUCUGAGAUAAGACUCACCUCCACCUUUCCUCAGUGACUCAGUGAAGACCCAUCUCCAUCCUACCUCAUGAUGCCUGUGAGAUUCUCCGAUGAUUCCUUUGUUUAAGCUUCUAUAAAACUCAAGGGACCUUUCCUUUUCUUUGAGAAGUUUUUCAUUGAUAAAUAAUAUCCCUAUGGCAAUAGCCUGAAUAAAAUCAUCAUCUAAUUGUCCAGGGCAUUUUGUCUUUCACACAUUGAAUGCACCAUUUCAAACCAAAUAGGAGUCCUAUGAUAGAGAACAGGAAGCCCUACUCAUUGAGUCAGAUAGUAUCCUAUGAUUAUAUGUCCUUCCCUAAAUAUAACCUUUUCUUUUCCAUGGAGUUAAUUUUUAUUUAUUCUCUUACUUGACUUUCUUCAAAUCUCUGGCUUAGUGUGCCCACAGUCUCCAACAACUCUUUAAAAUACUUUUCUAUCCAAAUUUCCAUGUUAUUCUUUUCUUGGAGACUUCUCUCACAAAGCUCUCUAUCUUCCAUCUCCAGUCUAUACUGAUCUACACCUCUUGACGUGCUGCAGAGCUAUCAUUGUGGGACUUCCCUCUGCCAUCUUUAUAGGAAUUAUUUACAUCUCUUUCUAAAUUGGAUCUCAUUUCCCUUUUUCUUACUUUAUUCCCUAUUGUCUUGGAGCACAUCCCAUAGAAUCUUCCUGAGAAGGGGUACAUGGGAGACACAUUUUUUGAGACAAUGCCUAUCUGGUAAUGUCUGUAUUCAACUCUCACUCUUGGUUAAUGUGAGAUGAUACAAAAUCUAUAGCAGUCUCUGGCCCCAGUUCCUGGCACAGAGCUCCUAAAACCCCUGUAAUUUUCUAGGUGAUAAGACACUAGGAGCAUCUCUUGUUCUAAUAUUUGGUCUUUGACCUCAUCCCUGAUGCAAGCCUCCUAAAACCCUUGUAAAUUCCUAAGUAAUAAGAGCACUAGGAGCAUCUUUUGUUCUAUCAAGGUGACUCAGGGUGGGCUCCUGGAUGGUUGCUGGAUGGGGGCUGGUCACCAGAAAGACCCAAGUAAUAAUGAUUAGAAGCUUGACAUUUUCAGCCCCACCCCCAGCUUCUGUAGAGAGUGGUGAGGGGCUGAAAAUGGAGUCAAUAAUUGAUCACGCCUACGUGAUGAAGCCUCCAUAAAAAUCCCAAAAGUGCAGGGUUCUGAGAG
rnacentral:lncRNA from 1 species